UACGAAGGGGGCUAGCGUUGUUCGGAUUUACUGGGCGUAAAGCGCACGUAGGCGGAUCGUUAAGUCAGGGGUGAAAUCCUGGAGCUCAACUCCAGAACUGCCUUUGAUACUGGCGAUCUCGAGUCCGGGAGAGGUGAGUGGAACUGCGAGUGUAGAGGUGAAAUUCGUAGAUAUUCGCAAGAACACCAGUGGCGAAGGCGGCUCACUGGCCCGGUACUGACGCUGAGGU
rnacentral:rRNA from 1 species